GGGCGUGUGUUGCAGUGGUAGCAUUCUAGACUUCGAGGUCGAGAACUGGAGUCAUCUAGCGGUCGCGGGUUCGAAUCCUGCCGUGCCCU
rfam:Cryptococcus depauperatus CBS 7841 supercont1.8, whole genome shotgun sequence.